rnacentral:rRNA from 1 species
UGCCUAACACAUGCAAAGUCGAGCGAAGUAUUUAAAGAAGAUUUCUUCGGAAUGAAACUUUAAAUAUCUUAGCGGCGGACGGGUGAGUAACGCGUGAGAAACCUGCCUUUCACAACGGGAUAGCCUCGGGAAACUGGGAUUAAUACCGUAUGAUGUUUCUUUUUAGCAUUAAGAAGAAACCAAAGCGCAAAGCGGUGAAAGAUGGUCUCGCGUCCCAUUAGCUAGUUGGUGAGAUAAAAGCUCACCAAGGCGACGAUGGGUAGCCGGCCUGAGAGGGUGAACGGCCACACUGGAACUGAGACACGGUCCAGACUCCUACGGGAGGCAGCAGUGGGGAAUAUUGCACAAUGGAGGAAACUCUGAUGCAGCGACGCCGCGUGAGUGAUGAAGGCUUUCGAGUCGUAAAACUCUGUCCUAGGGGACGAUAAUGACGGUACCCUAGGAGGAAGCCCCGGCUAACUACGUGCCAGCAGCCGCGGUAAUACGUAGGGGGCGAGCGUUGUCCGGAAUUAUUGGGCGUAAAGGGUUCGCAGGCGGCCUUUUAAGUCAGAUGUGAAAUCCCACGGCUUAACCGUGGUAAGCAUUUGAAACUGGAAGGCUUGAGUUAAGGAGAGGAAAGUGGAAUUCCUAGUGUAGCGGUGAAAUGCGUAGAUAUUAGGAGGAAUCCCGUGGGCCAAGGCG